CCGGGAAUGAGAGAAAAGAAGCUGUGAGAAGAAGCUGAAGAGACUAUGUUAUGUCGAGAAAACUUAGUUAACUUGAAGGACAGUUAUGCUAUUUACCGUUUGCAACCGGGCGUUUGUGUGAGUGUUUGUUUAUUUUGUUAAAAGUGUAAUCGAGCGUGCUUUAGAAGUGCGGCUUUUUGCUAAGGGGCUGACAACGAGGACGGGACUGUUUUGCUAGCGGUUAGCAUAACUGCGUGUGCGGGAGAGGCCAGGACAAGGACGGACUUUGCCACGUGCUGCUGCCGAGGAGUUGGUGUUGGACCGAGCAUCGAGACGGGUUCCUGAUCGUGUUGCUGCCUCUUGGAAGAGGUUGCUUUUCAAGGAGUUUACCGUGUCCUUUUGUCCUGAUUCGGGUAGCAAUUGUGAUCAACCAUCCAUCCCAAACCCAAGACCAAGGAGGUUGUUAUCGAUUUCCGGAGAGUCCCCACUCUUAAACCCCCACUGCACGUCGAUGGUGCUGCUCCCGAGAGACUCCGAAUGAAAAGCUGGUGAGUGAGAAGCCGGUGCACGUCUCAAAAUGCCCUUCUAAUGUACACUUUUCAUUUCUAGUUUCAUAUUUCACAUAUUGUAAAUAAUGUGGAAUAUAUUGCAUUCCGUUUUGAGAUACCUCACAACCUUAAAUACAAUGGAUAACAGUUUAAAUCUUUAUUACCAGCAAGCAAUUUGCACAAAUUCGUUGGAAAAUAAACCCUGCAACACGGCCUUUAAGUAGGCAAAAGCUGGGUAAUCA
rnacentral:lncRNA from 1 species